AUACGGAGGAUCCGAGCGUUAUCCGGAUUUAUUGGGUUUAAAGGGUGCGCAGGCGGGAGAUUAAGUCGGCGGGGAAAUUUUGCAGCUCAAAUGUAAAAGUGCCUUCGAAACUGGUUUCCUUGAGUGUAGAUGAAGUAGGCGGAAUUUGUGGUGUAGCGGUGAAAUGCAUAGAUAUCACGAGGAACUCCGAUUGCGCAGGCAGCUUACUAAACUACUACUGACGCUCAGGCACGAAGGCGUGGGGAUCAAACAGGAUUAGAUACCCUGGUAGUCCACGCAGUAAACGAUGAUUACUAGCUGUUUGCGAUACAAUGUAAGCGGCUGAGCGAAAGCGUUAAGUAAUCCACCUGGGGAGUACGUUCGCAAGAAUGAAACUCAAAUGAAUCGGCGGGG
rnacentral:rRNA from 1 species